rnacentral:rRNA from 1 species
GUCCCAGUUCGGACUGUAGUCUGCAACCCGACUACACGAAGCUGGAAUCGCUAGUAAUCGCGAAUCAGAAUGUCGCGGUGAAUACGUUCCCGGGUCUUGUACACACCGCCCGUCACACCAUGGGAGUCGGGAAUGCCCGAAGUCAGUGACCCAACCUAUAGGAGGGAGCUGCCGAAGGCAGGUCUGAUAACUGGGGUGAAGUCGUAACAAGGUAGC